GCGGGAACAUAGGGCUGGGGAAUCCUGGCAGAGGCUCUGGGCAUUAUUACAGAUGGUCGUUGAGGGUCGCAAGCACCAGGCCUGGAGGCCCUCCUCGGCCUGCUACCAGCUGUGACCUUUGGAAAGUGACUUGGCUCGCGCCUCAGUUUUCCGUUUUCUGGAGGACUUGCGGCCUGAGAGUGGCCAAAAAGAAGAGAGUUACUGUCGCAGUCACUGCCUGCCUAGUGGGUAUUUAGGUGCCCAGUCAUGCCUUUGCUCUCGGAGCCAGUGCCUGGUGCAAGCACUGCGGUGGGUUCGUGCCCCAGCUUGGGGGCCACAGGGCUGACUCGGCCGCACUGCCUAUGCGAGCUUGGCCCCAGUUUCCUCGUCAGGGCACAGAACUUCCUUCAAAGGUUCAAAAGAAGAGGCUGUUCUAAGAAAGACUACCGAGUAAUCAAUCACCUCCUCAGAGAAAGUCUGCUCAGGAAACUCUCCUCCCACCAGCCCCUGCACUUGGUUCCUUGCGUUGCCUCUGGCUGGAAGCUGUUGUCCCCAACUUCAGAAAGUGUCUGCAGAUUUCACAGGCUCUCUCUUGGGUCAAGAAACAACAGCUAUUGUGUUUCUUCUGGGACUGAAGCCCAUUUCCGAUCUGGAUAUGUAAACUCCAGAAGAGGACAGAAGAGAUGAAUGGCAAAGAGUUGAUAACCGCUGAAGCUGAGUGAUGGAUAUGUGGGAAUCUGAAAUAUCCUCUCCACACUAGUGUGUGUAUAAAAAGCUCAUAAAACAAAGUUGGGGGGAAGAAAAGGAUCUGGCAAAGCUCAGUGAUGGUCUGUGUAAGCCAGCAUUCGUUUCAGAGGGAGUGCUCCGUAUCAAAUGUGAGUGCGUGUACUGCAGGAUACGCUAAUAUGAUUGUAAUAAAUGGUCUUCAACUAUGGCA
rnacentral:lncRNA from 1 species